ensembl:snRNA U6 U6 spliceosomal RNA
GUGCUGGCUUCAGCAGCACAUGUACUAAAAUUGGAAUGACACAGAGAAGAUUAGCAUGGCCCUUGCACAAGGGUGACAUGCAAAUUCGUGAAGCUUCCAUAUGUAA